rnacentral:rRNA from 1 species
AGAGUUUGAUCAUGGCUCAGGAUGAACGCUAGCUACAGGCUUAACACAUGCAAGUCGAGGGGCAGCAUGUUGGUUGCUUGCAACCAACGAUGGCGACCGGCGCACGGGUGAGUAACGCGUAUCCAACCUACCCUUGUCCAUCGGAUAACCCGUCGAAAGGCGGCCUAACACGAUAUGCGGUUCACAGCAGGCAUCUAACGUGAACGAAAUGUGAAGGAGAAGGAUGGGGAUGCGUCUGAUUAGCUUGUUGGCGGGGUAACGGCCACCAAGGCUAACGAUCAGUAGGGUUCUGAGAGGACGGUCCCCANAUUGGAACUGAGACACGGUCCAAACUCCUACGGGAGGCA